UGCAAGUCGAACGGAAAGGCCCUGCUUGCAGGGUACUCGAGUGGCGAACGGGUGAGUAACACGUGGGUGAUCUGCCCUGCACGUUCGGGAUAAGCCUGGGAAACUGGGUCUAAUGCCGGAUAGGAGCCUAUUUUAGUGUGAUGGUUGGUAAAGUUUUUCGGUGUAGGAUGAGCUCGCGGCCUAUCAGCUUGUUGGUGGGGUAAUGGCCUACCAAGGCGGCGACGGGUAGCCGGCCUGAGAGGGUGGACGGCCACACUGGGACUGAGAUACGGCCCAGACUCC
rnacentral:rRNA from 1 species